rnacentral:lncRNA from 1 species
AUGGGUGACAUCACUCCCCGGGCCAGCCAAUGGCUGCGGGCCGGCUCCGCCCAUCUCCCUUUAUUAACUCCUCGGCCACGCCCCCUACCCCCCCGCCCUCGGGGCUGCUUUGCAAAGAUGGGGGGUGGGGGAGAAGGGGGAGGCACGUCUGGAGAUAUGUUAUUUAAAAAAAAAAAAAAAAAAAAAAAAAAAACACCCGCGUGCGUGCACAGAUGCGCCUCUCCCCGGGAUGCUCGCGAGCCGCGGCGAACCGGGCCAGUCCGGGCCGGGGCCCGCACCCCCUUUGUGCCGGGGUCCCCCGGAGCCGCGGACCUGGCGCGCUCGCUGUCCGGGUGCACAGGCUCAGGCUCGGGCUCGGGCUCGGGCGCGCGCGGCGGGGCGGGCGGGGCGGGCGGGUGCGGGCGGGUGCGGCCCGGCGCGCCCCCGGUGGGUGCAGCUGCUUCCCGGAGCCGCGCGCGCCCGAGCCCGCCCGGGGAGCCCGCCGCGCCCGGGUCGACGGAAGGUGGCGCUUUAACACAACGCCUCCCGGGCACGUGGGCUCGCUCCUCGCUCUCCCCCUCGGUCUCUCCUCCUUUUCCCUUUCUCCCUUUUUUUCUAAGGCAAAGAAAGCCAUAUAAAGCCCGCGCGGCUUCCUUCUCCCCCCGCCCCCGCCCCCGCCCCCACCCCCACCCCCCGUCUGCAUUUUCUGUUUUGUCCCCUUUGCUCCGCAGGUUUUCCAUCCUCGGAGGCGCCGGGGCCGCGCGCGUCCCGCCCCAGGCGGAGGCCGGAGUAACGGUCUGGGGGUUUGGCUGGGGCCGGGUCCUCGCGUUCAAUCUGGCCACUCCGGAGGCAGGUUCUAAACCGGGUCCCGGGCCCCGCGAGCUCCGGCGCGGCCCCGCCCCCGCGCCCGCCCCGCGCCCUCCCCCUCCCCUCCCCUCCCCUCCCCCCGCGCCCCGCGUCCCCCUCUUUGUCCCCUCCCCCUCUCUCGGUCCCCGGCGUCCUCCCUCCCGACCCUCUAGCGAGGAGCCCGCACGCCUCCCGGGGCGCGCGCUGUUUUAA